AUUAAAUUGUACGUACCUAUCUUGAAUACUGACUACUACGUACAUCAUUUUGCACGUUUCGUGGAAACAGGUGAACAGUCAUUAAAACAUCUUGUGAUUAGGUCCCCAAACACCUAAAGAGAAAAACGUGUUAUAAACAUCCCUAAAUUCUCUGUUAUUCGAAACAGUAUCUCAUCUUCAAGAAAUCCGCUUCUUACGGCGAACGGAAGACCCCAUAAUAAAUGAAAAGUGAGAUGAAAAGUACACCCAGGUAAAGGAGAACGAAAACGUUUUGAAACAAGCAUCAUAGAGUGGAAUCGGCCAACUCUUUAUACUUUAUAGAAUUAAACGAAAAAGAAAAUAGCUUACGUACAAACCUAAAUAAUAAAUUUAUUCUGUUAAGGAUUUAGGGGAUAGAUGGCAACAAAUAUUUCGACCAAAUGCAACAAGUUCGCAUAUAUUAUGUAUUUAAUGAGCCAGGGGAGAACAGUUGUCUGUGUAUCAUAAUACUAUGCGAUCAAAAAUGCGUUGCUGUCCAGUUACCUUUGGAAUUUUUGUUUUCAUGGGAAAUCGUACUUAACUUGAACUUCCAAAGGCGACUCGACAGCAACUCAUUUUUGAUCACCCGUACUAAAAUCUACAAUAGUAUGAUAUGCUCACGCGCAUUCCCGCGCUUCUAACUGAUAUUUAGACAUAGGGAUUUAUGUGUAUUGUUUUUCCAUAUGUCUACUUUUAAAUGGCAAAAUCUCUUCUGAAAGGUACCUAAUUUUAUGCAUCCAAAAUACUAUUUUUAAAACAAAUAGA